rnacentral:rRNA from 1 species
AUGGACGCGUCGGGCGAGCUGCAGUGCGUGGGGUGGCUGGAGAUCGCCGCGCCGCCGCCGGCGCGCUACCUCCGCAUGGGCUCCCUCCCGGUCCCCACCGACGACUCCGCCUACCUCCCCGCCCUCCUCCCCUCCGCUUCCCCGACUGGGACUGGAGCUCCAAGGUAUCAAAUGCUGCCACUGGAGACUGACCUCAACACACUCCCCGUGAUUCCAAACCUCCCGGAGAAGGUUUUCCCAACGGAUGCGAAGAGUACUGAAGGUGACCUCUGUCGAGCCUUCGUUGUUAUAGUUUGA